rnacentral:rRNA from 1 species
AUUGAACGCUGGCGGCAUGCUUUACACAUGCAAGUCGAACGGUAACAGGUUAAGCUGACGAGUGGCGAACGGGUGAGUAAUGCAUCGGAACGUGCCCGGUCGUGGGGGAUAACGCAGCGAAAGCUGCGCUAAUACCGCAUACGAUCUGAGGAUGAAAGCGGGGGACCGUAAGGCCUCGCGCGAUCGGAGCGGCCGAUGUCAGAUUAGGUAGUUGGUGGGGUAAAGGCUCACCAAGCCGACGAUCUGUAGCUGGUCUGAGAGGACGACCAGCCACACUGGGACUGAGACACGGCCCAGACUCCUACGGGAGGCAGCAGUGGGGAAUUUUGGACAAUGGGCGCAAGCCUGAUCCAGCAAUGCCGCGUGCAGGAAGAAGGCCUUCGGGUUGUAAACUGCUUUUGUACGGAGCGAAAAGGCUCUCUCUAAUACGGAGGGCUCAUGACGGUACCGUAAGAAUAAGCACCGGCUAACUACGUGCCAGCAGCCGCAGUAA